CCUGGUUUUUAUCUCUGUGGUGUCACUGAUGUGUUGAGCAAACUAAUGGAAAUGAUGAAGACCAAAUAACAAUCUUUAUAUCGAUUUAUUUGGUCCAUCACAAAGUGGUGGUCCCCACCCACCAAAGGUUUGCAUGGGCAAGAUGAAUUGAAAGAAUUUAAAGUCAUAAUGGAAGAUUUAGAAAUUGAAGAGACAUACAAGUAUAUUUAUGAGGAUAAAGUUUGCACUGCAAGGCUUGAUUAUCCCUCAGUAUUUUCAGCCCUUUACAGAAGUGAAGAGAUUUCCUUGUUUGUUGAGAGAGAGUUGUGCAUAGCCAUUUACAUUGCUAUGGCCAUGAGUAGCUCAGAAGCAGUAGUAGAAUCGUAUUAUUCUGUCAUAAAAUCGCAGAAAAGGGAUGGUGGACACAAUAACAGGACAUGGUGCUUUUCAAACCCUCUCCAGUGCCAUAAAACAUUAAAUGAAGUAGCAGCGCUGUACCUUCAUGGAAAUGGAGAGGUUGGGCUGCCAAAACAUCAGGUUCAUCCUUGAAGAUAGAGGUUACUUAAAGAGGAUAUGACACGAAAAUGCAAAAUUUUAUUAUAGAUCAAAUCCUUGAUGCUGAUUUCAAAAAUUAAAUCGAAAAAUGAUUAUCUGCCCUACUUAAACCAGCCUUUGGCUAGUACGGACGACGAAAGCGAUGAUGGGCCUAGGCCUAAUGACUGAGAAUAACUGGAGGAUGAAGAUGGGAUAUCUCCAGAAACUUUUCGCGAAAGACAGACGGGGAACCUAAGUGUAGAUCAAUGGUGAGUGGUUUUUGUUUUCGCUGUUUUCUAAAUAGUUCAAAUUAUCCACCCUUUCAUGUCGGUACAACGAUACAACUGCAGCUCUUUUUUAGGUGUGUGUGCGGCAAAUGCUCAGCAGGGAACUUGGAAAGUGCCAGAGAGUACCGUUGCUGCCAUGAAGUGGCACCUGCUUAUGGAAAAGUCGUUUUUAACGGCGAAUCUGAUGAAAUAAAGUGUGACCCUUCAUGAAGACUAAAGGCCUUUUACAAAUAUAAAUGUCCUUAGAAACGUUGGUCCAUUGCUUCAGAAAAAGGAUGGAGGCCCUACAAGAAAAGGGCAAAUGUAACAGAAAAUGAGUAUCUUCGUGCAGUUUCUUAUCGCUGGUUAGCACGCUGGAUAUUUGGAUACAUGGGAUGGGACAAUACACGGCCUCUGCCUGCAUGCAUUUUUCAUAACGUCCAUGAAAAGUAUAUGUCUAACCAGAACAUUGGAUAUAAAAAUGCAGAAGAACGUAACUAAAAAACAUAGAUUAUAUUUAUUCAAUUAGCUUUUGUUAUAUUUAAUUUCAUGCAAGUGUAUAUAAUUCUUUAAGUCAUUCUUUGCAUAAAGUCUUAGAAUGUCCUUUCAUCAAUUGGCCACAUUUUUUGCAUGAAGGGGCCUUUCUUUUUGGCAAACGAU